GCUCAUAGAGUGCAAGUUUGGAGUGACGGGUAACACCCGCGUAUUCUUUUAGGGGGAGGUCACCCAGGCGAGUGGAGUUUCAGAAGAAGAGGAGGGGCAGGAGGAAGGAAGGAGAAAGAAGCAUCUGAUCUGUCCAAUUCUCCUGGUAGUGCCGGGAGCGAGAGCUGCGGUCUCAUCUCGUAAGAGCUGUGAGACGCCUACAUAUUCUCAUAAGUGGAGGAAAGCCAGGCACCUGGAGCUGUAGAAGAGGAAGGGAGAAGACAAAGAAAAGGAAGAGCCUGCUGGUGGCCUGGCCAGCGUGACCCCCUGGAGUCGGGGCUGGUCACGGCACUUGUCCCUCAGUCCCCCGCGAAGCCCCGUGGCACGUUGAGUCCCUCUGGGCUCCGUGCGUCUGGGGGGGCAGGUCCCAGGCUCUGCUCUCCUGCUUGCGGGAGGGGAUGGCUCCCCAGACAUUGGCUGCACAAAGCUCGCUCUCUCUUCUGGGAAGUUUUCUUUCCCCCUAUCCGUGUCCGUGUGCCUGCCUGUGUCCGCGUCGGUGCGAGUGUGCGAGUGAAGGAGCUUCUUGUUUAGGCCCCUGUUGAAAUCGCUGCAGCGUACUGAGCUUAAACUUCCCGGGAGGGAAAGAGGGGCUCUGUGCAGCAACAGGGGGUCGGUCCCCGCUGAGCCCGCGAGUGGAGGGCGAGUCCCGGCUUGCCCCUCCUUUCCAAGGACAGAGCCAAGCCACGUGGUCGUAGCAUGGCCGACGAGUGACCCGCCCGCAGUCUGGGCCUGGGUCACUGCCUGGGUGGCUGCCUGUCCUGCUGGCGACCUGCCAGCGUGCUGGCCCCGUACUCGGAGCGAGUGCCACGAGCCGUGGAGCCCUCUGACCCCAGGAGCAGCCCGACGGCCCUGUAAGCAGGGU